rnacentral:rRNA from 1 species
GAUGAACGCUGGCGGUAUGCUUAACACAUGCAAGUCGAACGGACUCUUCGGAGUUAGUGGCGGACGGGUGUGUAACGCGUGGGAAUCUGGCUUUGGGUUCGGGACAACCACUGGAAACGGUUGCUAAUACCGGAUGUGCCGUGAGGUAAAAGAGAAAUUGACUGAAGAUGAGCUCGCGUCUGAUUAGCUAGUUGGUGAGGUAAAGGCUCAACAAGGCAGCGAUCAGUAGCUGGUCUGAGAGGAUGACCAGCCACACUGGGAAUGAGACACGGCCCAGACUCCUCCGGGGGGCAGCAGUGGGGAAUUUUCCGCAAAGGGCGAAAGACUGACGGAGCAAUACCGCGUGAGGGAAGAAGGCUCUUGGGUUGUAAACCUCUGUUCUUAGGGAAGAACAAAAUGACGGUACCUAAGGAAUCAGCAUCGGCUAACUCCGUG